rnacentral:rRNA from 1 species
GACGAACGCUGGCGGCGUGCUUAACACAUGCAAGUCGAACGGAAAGGCCCUGCUUUUGUGGGGUGCUCGAGUGGCGAACGGGUGAGUAACACGUGAGUAACCUGCCCUUGACUUUGGGAUAACUUCAGGAAACUGGGGCUAAUACCGGAUAGGAGCUCCUGCUGCAUGGUGGGGGUUGGAAAGUUUCGGCGGUUGGGGAUGGACUCGCGGCUUAUCAGCUUGUUGGUGGGGUAGUGGCUUACCAAGGCUUUGACGGGUAGCCGGCCUGAGAGGGUGACCGGCCACAUUGGGACUGAGAUACGGCCCAGACUCCUAUGGGAGGCAGCAGUGGGGAAUAUUGCACAAUGGGCGGAAGCCUGAUGCAGCAACGCCGCGUGCGGGAUGACGGCCUUCGGGUUGUAAACCGCUUUCGCCUGUGACGAAGCGUGAGUGAUGGUAAUGGGUAAAGAAGCACCGGCUAACUACGUG